UAUCUCUGUAGAGUCUGCAUAUCAAUAAGCGGAGGAAAAGAAACUAACAAGGAUUCCCUUAGUCACGGCGAGUGAAGCGGGAAGAGCUCAAAUUUGAAAUCUUCAAGGUUCUACCUUGACGAAUUGUAGUUUAAAGAAGUGUUUUCUGUUAGUGGAAUUUGGCUAAAAGUUCUUUGGAAAUAGACAUCAUAAGAGGGUGAGAAUCCCGUAUUUGAUCAUUCCUUCUAGCUUUGUGAUACACUUUCAAGGAGUCGGAUUGUUUGGGAAUGCAGUCCAAAAUGGGUGGUAAAUUUCAUCUAAAGCUAAAUAUUGGCGAGAGACCGAUAGCGAACAAGUACCGUGAGGGAAAGAUGAAAAGAACUUUGAAAAGAGAGUUAAACAGUACGUGAAAUUGUCAAAAGGGAAGCGUUUGACACCAGUGUUGUUUUCCUCGAAAAUCAAUUAAAAGAUGUUUAUUUUGAGUAGUUAUGACUUUCAUCAGCUCUGCUCCUUUCUUUAUGUACUUUCUUAAUGCACUUUUCGUUAACAAGUCAACAGUCAAUUUCUUUUGUUGUAAAAGAGUAUGAGGAAUGUGGCUUUCUUUUCGGAGAAAGUGUUUAUAGCCUUGGACUUCUGCAAUCGGAGAGAUUGAGGUCUGCAGCGUAGAUCCUUCGGGGUUAGAUACAUUUGUGCUAAGUUAUAGCUUUCAUAGACAACUUGUUGACUUAUGAUUAAGUCAUUGUAGCUUACUCGCUUAUGCUAUUUUACCUACGCUUAGGAUGUUGAUGUGAUACUGCGAGC
rnacentral:rRNA from 1 species